AGCCCUGUAGUGUAUGCUACACGUUGAAUUGCAAAUUCAAAGAAGCAGCUUCAACCCUGCCGGGGCUU
rnacentral:tRNA from 1 species